rnacentral:lncRNA from 10 species
GACAAGAUAAUUUAAAAAUGACUUAUUUCAGUAAUAAAACAGGUUUCAUCCGUCUCUUCUAUAGUUUAGUCUUAUCUGAGAACUCAUCUAUUUUGCUUUACUGCACUGACUGGAUGAGCUAUUGAUGAAGAAAUUGGGAAACUUUUUUGAAAUCACCAACUUUUACGUGUCUUAUGUCAAGAGUCGGCUUCCAUUGUCUUCCAAGAAUUAUGGUACACUUCAAAAGUCAGAGCUAGAUAGAUUCUUUUGUGAAUGGAGGAACUAUCCCAAGAUUAGCUUUUGACUGUGAUGUUUACGUGCUUUUUGAUGCCAUUGAAUGCCAUCAUUAGCUUAAAUAGUGCUUGUUGGAGCCAAUGAAUAAACUUAAAUGACUCUAAUAUUAAUAGAAUAUAGAAAGGAAUAAUAGCUAUUAGCCUAAAUAGCUUCAGAAGAGUGAAUCCUUUGCCCAGAGACAACAGAUAAGUAGUCUGCACUGAUUCCUGAGUGGGCGCUGUGUGUUCAUCAAUGCUUUCCCGAAGUUUAUUUGAAAACUCUACAUCUUUAAUUGGUUACUUUGUUAAUGCACUAAUAAUACCCAUUGUAUUAGCACCCAUACAUGUCAUUAGUUUAUUAAAGUAACAUCAUUACCAUGGAAUAACAUGAUUUAUAUUUUUUCAAAACAGUCUUUUCAAAGACAUGGAACUAAUAUUGAAUGCAUUUCCUGAAAGCGCUAUGAAGACACUAAUGGGUAGCACUUUAUAAGUUUUAACAUUUCUGGAAUAGGGCAGAAUUCGUUGAUAUUUACUCUAUGCUUCCCAUUCAGGGUUCCUGUUAUACAUUUCUAUCAUUUGAUUCUUUUAACAUCUUAUUGCACUUAACUACUAACAUGCCCUGCCCUAGUGCCUAAAGUCGAGCCUGCCCAUCUACAUGUAAAUGGAUAACAUUUGUGUUUGUUGGAAUGAAUAAAAAAAGAUUAAUUGGUUAUGCAAUCACAUUAAAGUAUCUAUGGGAAGUUUUAACUUAACCAAGAGGCUGGACAGAAACUACAGGGCCAAAAUUUGGUAGGACAUAUAGAAAACUUGUGAAUUUUUGUUUGUAAUAAGACCCUAGGCAUCAACAACACUAUGAAUCUGUUGAAUCAAGUUUAGCCUAACUGCCUCCUUACGUAUUUUCUGUUCAGCCUAAAGGUUUCUCUGUACAUAGUGAACUAUAAUCUAAAGGGAGGUGUAAACAGAUUGUAACCUACUUUUGUGCAAUUGCUGAGUUUUGGUCAAUCAAAGGGGGCCAGCUGUUCAAGCCACAUUCAAAUAAGGCAAACACUGAGCUGUAACCAAUCCAGCUGUUUCUGUAGCUGGUUUCCAUUUUCGGUAUAUCACUUUCCUUUCUCUGUCCAUAAAUCUGCUAUGACGUGGCUGUGCUGGAGUCUCUCUCUCAGCCUUCUCUGAUUUGGGAGGCUGCCCGAUUGGCGAAUUGCUCUUUGCUCAGUUAAAUUCUGUUGAAUUUAAUUUGGCUAAGGUUUUUAUUUUAACACAUUAUAGAGGUGCGGAUAAACAAUGAUAAGAUGUCAAAACCCUUCUGGGGAGCACUGGAAGCCUCUUGCUAUGAUUCUAUGAUAUAAUUCAAACACCAUAUUUUGCUGACAACUUCCUGAGUGAUAUUGGAAGUACAGAUAUACUGCAUUUCUGGCCAAACAACCAUGACAUACACUGUAGAUUUGGAAUGAACGCUAUUAAGAUAACCCAACCCUCUCUCUAGACAGGCAGGCAGCCAGCCAUGUGUGUCCUCUCUUCUUCUUUAUCACCAAGAAUGACUGGGAGCUAGAGCAGCAAUGUUGAUGGGCAUUGAUCUGUUUCAGAAACAUCUCAAGGACUGAGAAAUGACUUCGGGCAUUCCCUUUUCAAAAGAUGCUAUCUCAUUUCCUUACUAAAGAGAUGAGAAAAAGGGUGGAAAUUGAGAGAUGCAAGGUGCAUGAAAUUAUCAACAUGUUACCAAGAAGAUGAAUUCUGUGUGUGACCCGUCAGCAUCGUCGAUACGUAACAGUGUUAUGGCAGAGCUCCAGCAUAAAGCCACAGCAUGACACCAGGGUUGGAGAGGACCUAAUACCUGCAGUCUUGGGCAGCCAGGGGAUUUGUUGCUCUACACCAAUUUGCUCAAAUAUAGAAAACAUAUAUUUACUGUUUCCUGUAGAUGUAUCAGCAGCUCCUUUCCCAGGGAUGGUUGAAAAGCUUUGGCUCCGUUUUGCUGUCUGCUCUCUAAACUUUCUACCCUUCUUUAACUUGCUGACUAUCCAUUUGGAUGCUGGCUGACUGAUUUCUCAAUGAACCUCCUCUUCAAAUUGGGCUUUCACAAAUUGAACAUACUAUCUGUGGUGGGUAGUAUUGUCCACAGGUAUCCACAAGUGAGGGAGAAGGCAGCAUAUUGAAUAUACUCUCUGUGGUUGGUAGUGAGAGGUGACAGCGUGCUGGCAGUCCUCACAGCCCUCGUGC